ensembl:lncRNA
AUGAACGUUACUGUUCACUACUAAUAUUUGCUUAUGUUGCAGAUCUCAAAUCAUAUACAAAACCUUUGGUACAGGUUAAACAUACAUACAUGGAAUGACAUGAGGAUGUGCACUGGCCCCCUCCUGCUUGUCAUAUUGCCAACUAGAGGCAUCAGCCUCACUGUGGAUCUGUCAUGCUGUCACUGCAGAGGUUCAAUUAAAAUCCAGGUUAAGAUUUUUUUCCCAUGCUGGAAAACCGUUCCUUUCAAUUAGACGAUGAUGCAAGAUGGCGAGCCAACCCACACGAGACGAAUGCUGACUGAGGUGAAACAGUCAAACUAACCCAGGAACCAGGUAGG